GGGAUAUAGUUCAGGGGUAGAACGCGCACUUAGCAUGCGCGAGGUCGGAGGUUCAAAUCCUCCUAUCUCC
rnacentral:tRNA from 1 species